AUGAGAUGCAAAGAAUAAACAGUAAUGAGACAAUGCUCCCCCCUGCUGGCUGUCUGUGUCAAUGUCUCUUGUUGAUCCACGUGAGCGGUCCAUAAAGAAACGUAUGCAAUGGUGCAUCUGACAAUGUUGUUCUUUUGCAGAGGAGGCCAGUAAGGAGAAGGAGAGGCUGGAGGAGAAACAGAGAGCGUCCAGAAAGGAGAGAGCCAAGAAUGAGGAGGAGUGGAAUACCAGCUGGUUCCAGAUGGGCACCAACCGGUACACCAACGCCCAGGGCUGGCUUUACACCGGGGGCUACUUCAAUAGAAACUACCAAGACCUGCCCGAUAUCUACUGAUAACCUGCAAGCCUUCAUCCUCCUCUUCCUCUUCCUCCUUUAAAACCUGCAAUGCCUGUCAUGGAAUGGAGAGAAAUGUUAAGAAUGCACAUCCCCAUCUUCAUCUUACUGCCUUCAUCAUCAUCAUCAUCAUCAUCAUCAUCAUCAUCAUCAUCAUCAUCUUGAAACUGAGCAACACUGAUUGGACAGAUUUACAAAGAAUCCACGUCACGUCUCUCAGACAGCGUGCUGCUUCAUGUCCACUGAGUCUUCAGGUCUUUUCUUUUUUGUAAUUCUUCACGUAAGUCUUCUUCUCGUUCUGUGUGAUUUCGUCACAUAGAGACCAGCAAACGCUUCCCGUCGCUCUGCCCUGACAUCGUUUAGAGCACAAGAACCAUUUUAUUCCUGACCAAUGGCAGCGGCAGAGAGCUGGUGCGUGUGAAACAAACUCGCAGAUCUAAUCUGAAUGUUUAACGUCUUUCACAGCAAACUCUCUCCCCCCGACAGUCACACGUGUCAUUAAUGAGUAGAAGCGUGAAGUCACUCAUAAUAAUCAUAUUGAUGGAUUUAAGGACAUGGACCCAGUCAACAGGGAAAUGAUGGAUGUGAAUGCUUUCAAUAAAUAAAUUUAGGAGACUGUGUCCCAGUCAGGAAGACGAUUACAAAGAAAUACUGUUGGUCCAAUUGGUCAAGAUAAAUGUAAGCGUGACCUCAUUACUGUCCAUGUGUCAUGUCCCUAAAACAUUUAGUAUCCACUGUUACCCUCACAUUAACCUUCUACUCAAGGUUUAUGUGUGGAGAUAAACCAAGACAAACUACUAGAAAAUGGAGGCUUCCUCGACAGCAGAGGGGAAUUUGCAGCUGGAGUGGGACCAGAAGAGAAAGCACAUGCCGUGAGAUGUUCUCCUGCGCGGCAACAGAUGAAUGAAUAGAGCUGUUUGCCCUUUUUAAAAUGUAACUCUUGUCUUAAGUUGGCCUGCAGCCAGUCUGUAAAGCAGCUGUAGGGUUUACCUCCAGUAGAGAUGUGCAGUGUGAUUAACAUUAACACUCCUAGUUUCUAAAAGAGUUUAAGAAACACCCAACUGAAUGUUUUUAUGCAGCUUGGCUAACUGCAGGCUGCUAAGUCACAGCUGAGGUUUCACACCAGUGCAGAAAAUACGAUGUUUCAUCCUCUGGUUCGUACAUCGUAUCUCUAAAAGGCAGAGAAAAUGGAGAAGUUCUCACGUUCAAAGCUAGAUUUUAAGGCACAAUUCCCCUCGUGUCAAAGGAGUUUGACAUUUAUUAGAGAAUAUAACAAUGAGUAAAUGUAUCAUAAUGUACAAAUAUGUGAGAGAGGAUUUGUUGCGUGAAUGAUGGAAGAUUUGACAAUGUGAAACCUCAAGAUUUACAUUAUUAUUAUUAUUAUUAUUAUUAUUAUUAUUAACAUUAUUAUUAUUAUUAACGUCACUCAUGGCAUGUUGGUGUAAUAAAAAGCAAACGUUAGAUCCUCUGCUGUCCGGCUGCAUUGGAUGUUACAGAACGGAUGCAUUACUGUCACCUGCAAAAUACGCAAAAUAUUACUACAGACCUAAAACAAAGAAACACAAAACGUGUGUGUCUUGUGCUCACACAGGAGGGGGAGGAGCCUGUUGUCUCAUAAUCUGGCCAGACUGUAUUUUUCUUAUUUUCUUCUGAUACUGAUUGUAGUAAGAAAAGUGAAAUGUUCUGUAAUGAAUGUUGGCACACAACAGAGAAGGUGCUCCUGUGAGUGGACAGCCGUGUAACACUGCGUGGCAGACUGGAUAUUAGUAUUUGUACAGAAACUCUUAGCUUGAUGAGUCAUCACAUCAUGAAACAUGAAAAUAUUCCUUUUAUCUGUAGCUUUGCAGAUACUUACAGUCUAUGGUCGUGUGGCUCGUUCAUAUAACACCCUGGUUCGUCUUGCAUCGAGGUUUUCAUUAGAGAAAAUGUGUAAUACACCUUUAACUGUCCACCGUCCCCGAUGACACACACACACUCGUCACACGACCUGUUUGCACUGGUGAGAAUGUGACUGAAAAAAACGACAUGUUUUUUGUGGGGGAAAAGAGGAAAACUAUCUUUUUAAUAACAUAAUGGAAAAAGUGCAACAAAUGUGAUCUUCAGAAAUCUUGAUCUUGAAUGAUCAUUUACCGGCUUUGUGUUCCCUGCUGUUCUAAAAAUCACGUUUUCAUCAGUGCAUUUAGGAACUAGGAUGUAUUUCACCAACUCUAUGCAACGUUUGCACCUCAACAUGAAUCUGUGUGAGCUGCUACUGUACAGUAGCUUAACACCGCCCCCCCCCCCCCCCUACACACACACACACACACACACACACACACACACGGUAAUGACUUUGUCUUCUUAGUUUAUUCCAAAUAUUGGAAAUUAUUAACGUUUUGGGGACUUUACAUCUUGGACCAACUUAACUUUUCCUUUGUGUGUUUUUUAAAUUAGAUUUCUGUGUCCUGCUUAGUGCCUCCUUUUUUCAUUCCCUUGUUUUUUUUUGUGUGUGUUUUUCUUUUCUUUAUGUUUAUUAUUUAUAAUGUUUGAGGUUUUAUGAGAUAAUUCUGUUGUCAAUUUUCUUUCUUUUGCUUUAUGUAGUUAAUGGAAACGGCUCUUAAUUUCUUUCUUUCACUUAAAACAUGAAUCUGAACUUUUACAGAGGAGCAGAGCGUCUAAUCAAACACCGUUCACCAGCUUUGUACAUUUUACUUUUGCUGUUAUUGUCAGAAUUACUAUCCGGUGCGGUGUGUAGGUAGACUUUCAUCAAAAUAAAUCACACUGACAUGAGUUUAUCUUUACACUGGUCAAAUGCUAAAUGAACCCAAACAGGAAGAAACUAUUGUUGAAAAAUAUUUUUUUUUACUGUAAAUUGAUUUCAGCUGGUAAAUGGUCCAGGCGGCUGCCGGCUAGUAAACAUGUAGCGGUCACAGUCACCAUAAUACUUCCCUGUGUCAUUAAACUAGAUCUAUGUUGC